UGGGGAAUACUGCACAAUGGGCGCAAGCCUGAUGCAGCAACGCCGCGUGAGGGACGACGGCCUUCGGGUUGUAAACCUCUUUUGGCAGGGAAGAAGCGAAAGUGACGGUACCUGCAGAAAAAGCACCGGCUAACUACGUGCCAGCAGCCGCGGUGAUACGUAGGGUGCAAGCGUUGUCCGGAAUUAUUGGGCGUAAAGAGCUCGUAGGCGGUUUGUCGCGUCUGCUGUGAAAACCCGAGGCUCAACCUCGGGCCUGCAGUGGGUACGGGCAAACUAGAGUGCGGUAGGGGAGAUUGGAAUUCCUGGUGUAGCGGUGGAAUGCGCAGAUAUCAGGAGGAACACCGAUGGCGAAGGCAGAUCUCUGGGCCGUAACUGACGCUGAGGAGCGAAAGCAUGGGGAGCGAACA
rnacentral:rRNA from 1 species